GGGGUUUUUUUAAACCACUGAGGGGCCUAUAUAUGACGUGUCGGUUUCGACCGACUAUGGCGAUAAAUGGCCUUCGUAAUAAGCCUAUCGGACCCGGGGGCAGUACCCGGCGCCUCCACCAUAAUUCCAGACCGCGGGUCCCCGCAUCUGGCAUUCUGUGGGGGCGAACUAGGAUCGACGAGGGUGUAAAAGUUGUGCUUUCGCUCGGCAUGGUUCCGCCGUUAUCGGGCCGUUCAAUAGUUGCAAACGACAACUAUGCGGAGGCGGCUCUCGCUGCGUAAGCAGCGCGAUAGCCUCAUUUUCAAGUCCUAGCCUGUCGCAGGGCUAGGCGCGGUUUCGGAGGGCACCGGGCAACAGAAGCCCUCCACU
rfam:Methyloligella halotolerans strain VKM B-2706 A7A08_contig000001, whole genome shotgun sequence.